rnacentral:rRNA from 1 species
AUUGAACGCUGGCGGCAUGCUUUACACAUGCAAGUCGAACGGCAGCGCGGGGCAACCUGGCGGCGAGUGGCGAACGGGUGAGUAAUAUAUCGGAACGUACCCAGAAGUGGGGGAUAACGUAGCGAAAGUUACGCUAAUACCGCAUACGAUCUACGGAUGAAAGUAGGGGACCGCAAGGCCUUAUGCUUUUGGAGCGGCCGAUAUCUGAUUAGCUAGUUGGUGAGGUAAAGGCUCACCAAGGCGACGAUCAGUAGCUGGUCUGAGAGGACGACCAGCCACACUGGAACUGAGACACGGUCCAGACUCCGACGGGAGGCAGCAGUGGGGAAUUUUGGACAAUGGGCGCAAGCCUGAUCCAGCAAUGCCGCGUGAGUGAAGAAGGCCUUCGGGUUGUAAAGCUCUUUUGUCAGGGAAGAAACGGUAGAGGCUAAUAUCCUUUGCUAAUGACGGUACCGGAAGAAUAAGCACCGGCUAACUACGU